rnacentral:snoRNA from 1 species
CUGCCUCCAAUUAAGCCGACAUCCUCCUUCCCCAUGGAGUCAUGUUGUGCUGCUGACAGAGCCUCCCUGGCAGUGCACAUAAACCUAUUGCCUAUAUGAGUUGCCUCAAGGGACCUUAGAGACAGCC